UCGAUUCCCACAGGCAGCAGUUUUUGCCGAGAACAAAAAAAUCUAGUGUGCCUCUCGCUCCCCAACCCUAGCGCGCCUCGCGCCGGCCGCCGCCGCCGCCACCACUCCCUCCCGAUGUCCGAGUCCGUGGAGCCACGGAAGGGGUAUGCUUGCUCACGUCCCGGUUCCCCGCCGCAGCGCCGGGGGCGGCGUUCUCGCCGACCAGGGACCCUCGCGGCGGUGGCUCUGGAGAUCGUAGCGUCCCCGUCCCCAUCCCCAUCCCCCGCAAGCCGGAGAGGGCGUUUCUGUCCUCACGCAAGACGGCCCGAGCGGCGGCCGCGCAGGAGCAGCACCCUCAGCUGAUUCCCUCUCCCGCCUCCCACCCUUCCCUCGUUAGCAGAGCGGUUCCAGCUCGCUCCCUCUCCCUUCGACACUCGCUGGCCUUAGAUCGAUGCUGCCGCCAAGGUUCGCUGAGACAUUCUUCGUUCUGUCUGUAGCCUAAUGAUGUUGGUGAAUGCAUGUUUCAGGAACAUAAGCGCCAAGGGGAAGGUACCUCUGCAUCGGCUGCAAAGAAAUCACGCAAGCUUGGCUAUGAACAAGAGCUAUCUGAUGUGCUGCUGAUUUGAAAGAAGCCUAAGGUUGAGGGUACACUUUUGCGUGGAUCAGGUUUUGGAGAAGAAAAAGCUUCAGAGCCAAGCAAAGAGUCGGGUUGCUUCUUGCUGUGUGCGUUUCUUGAGAGAGAAUAUAGCAGAAAUGAGCUUCUCCAUCACAACAUGAAGAGUUGAGAAGGAAAUUUGCUUCCGGCUAUACAAGGUAGCUAGCUCCUUUUUUUUUGGAUUUUUUACAGCUACAACAUGGAGAGUUCCUAGGUUGCCAGCAAUGCCUAUGAAUUGCCACGACACUGAAUUUUGGCUAUUUUUUAUUCUGAAUAAAAAUAAAAUUUUAUAUUGUUUUUUCUCCUUGUAACCUUGUAUGUCUUGAUAGGUUUCCUAAACUGCAAGGUUGUGACACUCAAAUUGAGGGUUUGUUGCUAGAAAAUAAAUUGUGUCUUAGCCAUUAGUUGCUCUGAAACUAUUUAGCUUGCCUGCACCAUAUUGAGGGUAGGGCAGGUGCAUUCACUUAUGAGAGUGACCAUCUGUGAGCUAUAUUUUAGUUGUAUCUCUGCUUGUGAUUGAAAUAAUGACCUGAAGUGGAUUUUAGGGUACGGCAGGUGCAUAGAGUUUCCAAACCUAUGCUUAUGGGUUCUUACUCUGAUUCGUUGAAUGGAUCUGCAAUAAUAAUGAAGGUAGUGAAGAAUAUAUUGUGAACCACAUUUCUCUUGAUAUAUUGUAUCAUGUUUUUGGCCAGGAUGUUUUUUUUGUACAAUUGACCAUUGAAGUAUUUUUUUAUGCAUGUUUCUUUUUGCAUUACUGCCGUGGCUUGCCUUGGAAUUACGCCAACAAUUGUAGGAUUUGUUUGCUCUGGCCGCAUAGUGCUUUUUGAUAUUUUGAAAUAUUGUCAUUCUGAGUUUCUUUCCUUGAAAUUUGUUGAUCAGGAUAUUCUCUUGUUAGUUUAACUCAUUUCAUUUGAUACCCUCUGAUUCUUGACUUUAUGAAAUUAAACAGGACAUUCUCUUGGCUUUUAACUUAUGAAAUAGGAUUUUGAGUGCAAUAGUUUCGCAGGUUAACCAGGUAAAAAGAUAAGGUUGCUGCCAAAAAAACACAAUGCACACUUGUAGAAGAAAGAUCUCUUGAUUUUCUUUUAAGAAUUUUUUUUUCUGUGAUCAUUUGCCUGGCCAUCUAGAGUCUCAUCUGAUGACAGUUGUGUAUAAAAUUCGAGCAUUUUCUAUACAUUGGAAAAAUUAUAAUAUGAGAAGGUCUCUGCAGAAUCACAAUUCGCAGGUGGCCUUGCCAAACUGUGCAGGUUGUUGAGGCAUCAUUAUCUUGAAUCUUCGAGAGUUUUGUAUGUUCCUUAUGAAAAAAAAAUGAGUUCAGUACUUCUUUGCUAUUGGUGGUCUGUUAGUGUGCCAAUAUCAUCACUAUGAGUUUUGAAGUUGGCUGUAUGAUCAGUGAAGGUCUGUGGUUUUUCAUUGAUAUACCUGAUUCGGUGAAGGUAAGUAAUACUUCCAACUUUGUGCACUACUCACUGUUUCUGAAGUUGGGGCCACCUAGCCCAUCAUAUGUGGCUCUUUAUCUUGACUCUCAUGCUUAGCAUUUAAUUGCCUAUGUGACUCUCAUAAUCAGUAAUUGGACACUAGGCACCACUGUUGCUCGGCUAGCUCUUUUUUUUUCUGAAAUAUAUCACCAUUGGUGUUCUACAUGCAUGUGAAUACAUGGUUUAUUCCUUCAGGUUUGGAAUAUGCAAACAGCAGCAGAAAUGAAUCUUACUGGAUCAAGUGGGAAAGUCUAUGCACUCAUUGUUGCCACUGAGUUAAUCUUUGCUGCAACACAGGGUUUGUACACAGAGGACGAGUAACUGCAUAAAAUGGAAGGGGAACUUAAAGCAAGGCUGCAUAGAAUGCUUACUACAAAGGUAGGGUGGCUGCUCAAUGAUAUUCACCAUCCUUUUCAGCUUCUUUUUUCAUGCAGUGCUUGUCUCUUUAUGGCUAGCAUUGAAUCGAUGUUGCAAGAAUCAUUGUUUCAUCAAAGAAAACAAAAGAUAUUGCCUUGGUUUUCGAUUCACAGGGGUUAUGUAUUCAAAUUUCAAACAAGCAGUUAGAGUCUGGUGAUGCAGGUCAGCAUGUACGUCACCAUGUAUGAUUCAGAUCAAAUGGAACCAAGCAGUUCAGAAAGAGAUUGAGAUUAAAAGUCCACGAAGGCAUGUUCAUCUACUGAUAGGUGGCACGAUUAUUUGUAAAUUUCUAGCUACUCAAGCUAGCCUGCUAAAGAAGGCACAGAACAAAAUGUAGAAAUGCCAAUGAUCAAGCCCAUGUCAAUGGUUCAAUGUAUUGGUUGCUUCUUCUUGAAUAUUUGUCCAAUUAUAAACAUUUUAGUUGAGUUUCAGAAGUUCAGAAACAUAAAAUUGCAUUGA